rnacentral:sRNA from 1 species
GUCAUCAAUGGACUCCGUUUCUGUGUACAUAAAUAAUGCGUCCGUUUCUGUGUACGGGAACUUUACAUAAAGAAAGCGUCAUCAAUGAACUCGUUCUGUGUACAUGAUCUCUAGAGAUAUAUCGCGUCAUCAAUGGACUCUGCUUUCUGUGAACAUGAACUCUAGAGAUAUAUCGCGUCAUCAAUGGACUCUGCUUUCUGUGAACAUGAACUCUAGAGAUAUAUCGCGUCAUCAAUGGACUCUGUGUUCUGUGUACGUAAACUCUAGAGAUAUACCGAGUCAUCAAUGGACUCUGUGUUCUGUGUACGUAAACUCUUGAGAUAUACCGCGUCAUCAAUUGACUCUGCGAUCUGUGUACGUAAACUCUAGAGUUAUAUUGCAUCAUCAAUGGACUGCGUUCUGUGUACGUAAACUCUAGAGAUAUAUUGCAUCAUCAAUGGACUCUGCGUUCCGUGUACGUAAACUCUAGAGUUAAAUCGCGUCAUCAAUGGACUCUGCAUUCUCCAACGUGAACUCUACAGUAAUUGUUAUUGAUUUGCUAAGUUUACAGUAUGUGUAUGUUUUAUAUGAUAUGCUCCUGAAAUAUUGUCGCUUAGAAUGGUGGCUAAUGUGUGCUGAUUCAUUUUUUCAGUUUUGAUUUGCAGACAAGAAAUUGAUUAAACACAUUUAAAGGGGAAUAACUCAAAUUUGUAUUCUUUUAUUUGAAAUGAAAAAGCAGUUAUCCCCCUUCUAGUAAUGUUUUCUAGAAUUAUCUGUAUUUUAUGUUGUUGAUCCCUGACAUUUUUUUUUGUAGGAGAGUUUAUUGAAUAUCAGUCAAUGUUUUAUUACAAAAUGCCAUGAUAAGUGUAAUUGGGGAUUUGGGAGAAGGGGGAUUCAAAGUGGACCAUACCCAAAGGUUGUUUUUAUAAAGUUUGAACAAAAACAAUGGCAACGUGUAAAUAGCUGACUUUAAUGUGUAUUAUAUAUUGUACGGCUGAACCAUGUCUUAGAUAUCCUAAACCCUUUAAUACCUGCAAUGUUAUGACAAGUUACAUUAUUAUAUAGUGGGAUAAGGCAAAUGUUAUGUAGAACAUGCUGUUAACACUCUGAUACAACUGUUUGUAUGGGGUUUAUGAUGCAUUUUGUAAAAAUAUACCUAGGUAUAUGUAUAUUAUUGGUGGAUUUAGCACAUUUCUCCGACAUAAAAACUGAGUUAUAAUGAUCAGGUAGAUAGAAAAUUCAUGUUUAUGUAAAUAGUUUUUGAGGAAUAUUUUGACCGACUUUAAGGUGGUAUGGGACACUUCCAUGUUGUGACGUAUUGUUUAUCGAAAUAAACAAUAAAAUGAAUUAUAAUUAUAUAAGUUGUUUCUUUCCCAAUAUUGUCAACUAACAGCAUAGCGCAGUGGGUUAGAUCUAUAAGUCAUGAGUUCGAAUCCCGCUCGGGGUUUUACAAUUUUUACCUCUCCAAAUAUUUUUAUGUGUUUUUGGGGGGGGGGGGGGGGGGGGGGUUAAAUAUUGUAAAAUUUGAAAAUUCUACACUGGUGAAAGUAUUUCAAUUAUAAUGUACCUUAAUCUACAUUAAUAUCGACAGAUGUCCCAUACCACCUUAAGCAGAAUGGUGGAUUUAGCACAUUUCUCUCAUAUAAAAAACUUGGCUUUGUUGAAUAGAUAGAUAAACAACUUGUGUUUCUGUUUAAUAUUUCAUAUUUAUUUAAAUACUUUUGAAGGAAUAUUGUGCUUAUGUUUAAGUGCUAAUGUUCAUAUUUUGAGACAUUUACAGUGUUUGUUUAAUGUUUAUGCAUACCAUUAAUUACAUAAUUCAUAUACAAAUGAUUUUUUGGGGAGUAUUAUCAAGCUGUAGAUAAAACUCAAUAAAAGGGACAUUUCUUU